rnacentral:rRNA from 1 species
UACGGGGGGGCAAGCGUUGUUCGGAAUUACUGGGCGUAAAGGGCUCGUAGGCGGCCAACUAAGUCAGACGUGAAAUCCCUCGGCUUAACCGGGAACUGCAUCUGAUACUGGAUGGCUUGAGAUUGGGAGAGGGAUGCGGAAUUCCAGGUGUAGCGGUGAAAUGCGUAGAUAUCUGGAGGAACACCGGUGGCGAAGGCGGCAUCCUGGACCAACACUGACGCUGAGGAGCGAAAGCGUGGGAGCAACAGGG